UACGGAGGGAGCUAGCGUUGUUCGGAUUUACUGGGCGUAAAGGGCGCGUAGGCGGCGUGACAAGUCACUUGUGAAAUCUUCGGGCUUAACUCGGAACGGUCAAGUGAUACUGUCGUGCUAGAGUACAGAAGGGGCAACUGGAAUUCUCGGUGUAGCGGUGAAAUGCGUAGAUAUCGAGAGGAACACCUGCGGCGAAGGCGGGUUGCUGGGCUGAUACUGACGCUGAGGCGCGAAAGCCAGGGGAGCGAACGGG
rnacentral:rRNA from 1 species